CACCUCGGUAUAUAUUCUCAUUGGUAUUAGCUUCCAGACGGUGGGUCAAUUCAGUUCUGUGUCCGAUUUUUCGGGUUUUCUAGCUGUCGUAGAUUUAGCCAUCAGUUACUCAAUUUUCGUUGUCUCUGUUCCAUACUGUUCUUGAGUUCUUUUUUGUCUCGAUGGAAUCCUAGUGAAAAUUAGCACGAGAAAUUAGGGAUUUUCGUGUACUGUUUGGCACCCGCGAGAUUAGAUAGUGAUCGUAACAAGUGUUUUUCAAGUGGUAGAAAAUGUGAACACAGUGAAUAAUGUUCGAAGGAUAAAUUUGCAGCCUCAAUCUACCAUUCUGCGCCUGCUGUGUUCUUGGAGUAAUCUUCGAUAUACAGAAGGAAGCAGUUUUCAUUUGGCUGCUCUCUGCAUGUGCAUUUCUUCUGGCCCUGACUGAUGGUUCGCAAUAAAUAUUCUGUGAAUAAUGCUGGCAAGUCGCCGAGUAAAAAGUCGCGCAUCAACAUUAAGCAACAUGACGGUGCAAGUGAUCAGGAAGGUGGAGAAGGAAGUUCCAGUGCGACAUUAAUUGAUGGAGAAAGUGCAACAAACGGAGGAGCCCAGCGAUGUGACUCAGUGCAUAAACAAAAUCUUUACAUUAUUUCGUUUCCCGUUAUUUUUGUGUUUAACGUUUUGCGUUCUUUGCUAUACCAGUUAUUCAUUAUUUUUCGGUACAUUUAUAAUUUCACAACAAAAGUGGUUUACAAACCAGUGAGAAAAGAUUGCGGGCUAGAAAUAGUCAUCAACGAUCGGCAACAGUCAAAAGCAGAAAUACUACC